UACGUAGGGGGCGAGCGUUGUCCGGAGUUACUGGGCGUAAAGCGCACGUAGGCGGAUCGAUCAGUCAGGGGUGAAAUCCCGCAGCUCAACUGCGGAACUGCCUUUGAUACUGUCGGUCUAGAGUAUGGAAGAGGUGAGUGGAAUUCCGAGUGUAGAGGUGAAAUUCGUAGAUAUUCGGAGGAACACCAGUGGCGAAGGCGGGCU
rnacentral:rRNA from 1 species